AUUGAACGCUGGCGGCAUGCCUUACACAUGCAAGUCGAACGGCAGCACGGGUGCUUGCACCUGGUGGCGAGUGGCGAACGGGUGAGUAAUACAUCGGAACAUUUCCUGUAGUGUGGGAUAGCCCGGCGAAAGCCGGAUUAAUACCGCAUACGAUCUACGGAUGAAAGCGGGGGACCUUCGGGCCUCGCGCUAUAGGGGUUGCCGAUGGCUGAUUAGCUCGUUGGUGGGGUAAAGUCCUACCAAGGCGACGAUCAGUAGCUGGACUGAGAGGAGGACCAGCCACACGGGGACUGAGACACGGACCAGACUCCUACGGGAGGCAGCAGUGGGGAAUUUUGGACAAUGGGCGAAAGCCUGAUCCAGCAAUGCCGCGUGUGUGAAGAAGGCCUUCGGGUUGUAAAGAACUUUUGUCCGGAAAGAAAUCCUUGGCCCUAAUACGGUCGGGGGAUGACGGUACCGGAAGAAUAAGCACCGGCUAACUACGUG
rnacentral:rRNA from 1 species